UAUAAGAAGGAUGCGGCCUGGUUGGAGGUAACACAACAGCUAUUCGCCACCAUCUGGCAGAAAACCCAAGGGCAAAGUCGUCAUAAUUUGAUUGAAGAGGUCAAGAAUCGUUGGCGGAGCUGCCGAGACCAAUUUCGCAAGAAACUCAAACAUCAUGGACAUAGUGGUUCCGCCCCACCCAAAAAAAAGGCCUUAUAUAUUUAAGGAGCAGCUGAUGUUCCUCUCUAAAGUCAUGGAGCUCCAUGCAAUGGAGGACAAUCUAGAGGAAGAGGAAGGGGAAGAGUCUGCACCCCAGCUUUCCAGUGCAUGUGAAGAAGAGGCGACCACUGGGGCUGGGCAGAUUGAGAGUGUGCCUGGACCCACCCCUGCAACAUCCAGGCCUGCAGCUACAUCCGCAGCAGAUUUCCUCUAUUUGGCUCUACCCAGCCGGCCCAGACGCCGGCCAAUGCCUCCUGCCGAGACUCAUGUUAAUAUGCAAGUUCUAUAUUAUUUAUCUAGAGCCCGGCAGGAGGAUCAUCACGAUCUGUUUGGCCGGAGUCUGGCCUA